GCAAUCAACAACUUUCGUACACCUCCGACAGUUCUUUGUAAUCGCUCAACGAGCAGCUGGAUUAAAAUUGUAGGGAGAGCUGCAUAUUUUUGGUUUUAUUUAUAAAAAAGUAAAAGCACGCUAAUAGGCUAUAAAUAUACAUACGCCAAUAAACAGCAGUAGCAAAAGCCCUCUACUGAAGACCUACAACGGGUGGAUGAAGCGUUGAAGUGGAGCUUGGAAGUCACAAAAGUUUGCCCAUCAAAGCGACAGAAAAAGAGAAAGAGUAACAAUGGACAUUUUGGACAUCGAUGAAGCGUUGAAAGAUGAUUCUUUUAUCUGCUUGGAAGAUAAAACACACGAUGACGUUUCGAAUAUAUUGCAGCAAUGGAAAAGCAACAAUUGUCCGCUACCAACGCAAUAUCAGCAGGAACAAGCUUACAAACUAAACUCGAGAACAUUUACGCGUCCUCGCAGGAAGUUGGCGCAAAAUCUUGAAUCGCCCUUUGCACACACCUCUGGUAGUAAUGGUGCGCAAUCAACGCUUCCAACUCAUUCCGAACAGCUGUCACAUAAAUUUACCAUUGCCACGCCUCAGCCGCCGAUUUUCAAUCUCGAAAUUGGCGGUCUAGUUACAACGAUGCAUAAGUCAUUUUUGCAAGACACGUCACCCCCCUCAUCCAUUUGUUCCUCCAUGGAGAUGUCAAUGGAGCGCAUGAAUAACUCACUGAUCACGUCAGCGGACUUUACUAACAUAAACUUUCUACAAUCGACACAAAGCCUAGAUUUCAACGAGCCAAUGCUUAAUGGUGGCGAAUUGUUCAACUUAGCCAAUAAGGCAACCAGUGAUGGUUAUACGUUAAGCGACAUGAUACGCGAUAGGAAAGCACUCGAAUCGCUAACAAUGUCGGGUGAUGGCACACUCAUAAAAGAUUCGCAUAUCGGUCAGAUCGAUGAUAUAUCACUUGCGCUCAGCAAAACGGCAUCGGGUUACAGUACCUUGGACAAUUCCACGGAGAGCAUGCAAGAUGAGCAACAGCAGGGUAAUGGUCUAAAUGCGGCGGCCAAUGCUACCACAGUGGGUGUUGGUGGCGGUAGCUUGCCUGACGGCAAAAACAACAUUAUGCAUCGUACCAUGCUGCUUAGUGAUGAUGUAAUCAGUGAUACAACUUUUGAUUUGGUUGAAAGCAGUUUGUGUGAAAGCAUCGAAAAUGGAAAUGGAAAUAACCCAGCAACUGCACCCACAUCCGCUAAACUCAUCAACGAGACGUUCAAGAGGCCAUGGCCAAUGGACGAGACUGUUUGUCUUCCCACAAAAGCCAAUGCAACAUUCGAAUUUAAACAGCUAACACCAGAUGCGCGUUUAGCGUCAGAAACGCGUUGUGAAACUCCAGAAAAUUUGGCCGAAACAGUGGCCGCACGCAAGUUCUACGAGUCAACACCGCAUGCUGCUGGCAUGGGCAAAGACGCUCAGCAUCUUACACCUACGACCUCGAAGUUAACAAUAGAUGAGAGCAAUCUUUCGCCUAUAGUGGGCUCGCCGGAGAAAUUGAAUGCAACACGCGUGCUGCAUGAAACCUUCGGUCAGGAGUCGGACGUCAAAAAAGUGAAUUCGAAAACAUUUUCAGGCACUUUGCCACGUCUUGAGAGUAUCGAACAAAUGUUAGAUGAUAUUGAAAAUCCCAAUGAGACUUACGAGAAAGUAUCUGCGCGCACACAAGAACUGCAACAAAGCGCGGCCGAUAUACAAAUGCAAAAUGUAUUGGAGCUCGCGCACGCUGAGGAAGAGCUUUUGGCAAGCAAUAACGAUCAGGAAUUUGAGCAUAUGCUGGAAGAAUUCAGUAAGGUGGAAGUAAAUGCUGAGCAUGUGAAAAUGAGGAAAUCGCUGGAGACAAUAAAACGACGCUUCCAUCGGGACACCAUUGCUUUGGGAAGAGCACCAGCCUUGCAACACGGCGCUGAUAGUAAUAUUCAUGCCGCCCAUAUACACGAGAAAAUAGUUGAAACGAAUGGCGCUGACUGUCAAAAUGAAUCGAGGCGUAAUGGCAGUUACAGCAAAUUGGAUAUAAAUGCCAGCUUAGAGCUUAAGCGUUCAUUAUUGAACGAUUGCUCAGCGCCUUCUGGUUUAUCCUCACCAUCCCCCUCAUCCGCAUCGGUAUCUGCCUCAUCGGCGGUUUCCUCGAUAACGGUCAGUGGUGGCGGCAACGUCAAUGCAACGAGUGAACGACUGCUAAGUCGUCGCAGCCGGCUAUAUGAUAAUAUAAAUCUUUCAACAAUUUCCGCUGGCAGCAGUAAUCAUCAUUCGCCAUCCCGUUCACUGGGUGCUUCAUUCACAGUACAUAAGCGUGAAGAUAACGAGUAUGAAAAUUGUGCAGUUGCCGCAGAUGCAGCGACUAAAGCGGGUGCACCGAAACAGACUGAAGAAAAAGAAGAGAAUUUGGGAAAGACUGAUGAAGCGCAUGAAAAUGUACACGGAUCAGGGGCUUUGAACAAUUACAACGCUAUUGGCACCUACAGACUCUCAGAACGGCGCGAACGUGACCGCGAUCGUUUUAAGACAAUAAAAAUUGUCAAAGGAAGCAGUGCGAAUGACGUUCUUGCAGCUGUAAAUGUGCCUUGCAUCGAUGAUGAAAUUGCGUGUGUAGAGAGCGUAUCUGACGACAACGCUGCAGUCUUCAAUAAUAAUAAAUCAGAAAUUGAAGCGGAAAAGGACGUUGUGUCGGCAACUGGAAAUCAAAACACCUUCAAGAAAUCCACGACGGCAUCAAAAAUCAAUCCGAAUUUUUUAACAUACAAGAAGCCGAAAGAUAAACCAACACUCGGCGGAAAUUUGCCGGAAAUAGGAUGCGACGCAUUAGUCAGCAAUGAGGAGUUCGAAAAGACACCAGAAACGCCCAGCCGUUUACGUUCACGUUCACGCCCGCGUUAUAUUUCCGGUUUACAAAAGAUGACGGUGGUUAAAGCGAUUUCGGCGGGCGAUUUGGAUCGUGCUACAGCGCCUGGCUUGCGACCGCCUAACGCCAGCGUCAGUCAUGCUGGGCUCAACAACUGUCAGGAUGCUUGCGCUGAGAAGACUGCCACGAACACUAAAUACCAACGCAACACGCAACCUUUGAAGACAUCAACGGAUGACGUUAAAUCCCCAAUGGGCACCAAGUCAAAAUCCUUCCACAACUUAUCGAGUAAUUUUGGUUUUAAUGGCAGCGCAAGUGGCCUGUCGGCGGGACGCAACAGCAGUUUUGGCUUAAAGAAGCCCACCACUUUUGAAAGCAAUGGUUUUUCCACAAACUCUGCGAGGGAGCGCACUGGCAACGGUACGCCGAAUGCCACGCUGCAGCUGCAAGCCGACGAAGCAGUUUUCAAGGUACCCAAGCUUAUGUCUGGCCUACGUGCGCCUGGUGUGAAACGCGCCAGCCUGGUGCGGCCCUCCUCCGGUUACUAUAGUCUCAACAGUCUUGCCGCCAAGGGUAUGCCACCGUUGCCGCAAGCGCCACAAACACAGCCAGCGAAUGAUGCCGAUUCUGAUAGCGGCGGCAGGCAUUCACCCACAGAAAGCAUGUCUUCAGCUUCAUCGCGUAGCAGCUUACACAGUGGCGGCGGCGGUGGUAGCAAUAUUGGCAAGCCGGUUGCAUCCGCUACUGCUUCAAAGCCCGUAUCUUUCGCCAACACUAACACAUUGAACCUGACUAAGAUUACCACUGGUUCAACGGGUAUACCGAAGCCAUCUGGCCUGCGGCCGCCUACAACGAACAUCAAGCGCAGCGGUUUGCCCAAGCCAGCCACAGCUAUGGCGCGACGAUAAACCGUAUGUCACACACACAUACUACAUUGCAAUACAAACAACUACGUAUUUUAUAUAUAUAUUACUAAGCGGAAUUUAGUCAAGUUGGCAAUGUGACUAUGAAAUCAAAUGAAGGAAAUGUAUUGAGCUGAAGGCAUUUCUUUGUGCUCUCUUAAGUUGCCACAACUAAGAUUAUUUUUUUAUAUAUACAUACAUAUAUUUAAUUUUAUUUCGACACGAAUUCGAUUCUUGUACUUUAUGUAUAACUUAGAAGACAGAAACAAACGAAAGAGAACAAUAACAAAAAAUGAGCGAAAAACAUACGUAUACAAUGAUUAUUAGAUACUGAGAAAUUUCAAAUUCGAAUAUUAGCAAUGCAUAUAAUGAAUAACUAUUUCCUUAAGAGAAAUUAUUAUCAAUUUCAAUUAUAUGUAUGUGCGUUAAUUAAAUUUAGAACAAAAAAAAAUACUAUUAAAUGAUUUAACUAAAAACAAAACGGCGAACUUGAACUAUUAAGAAACAGAGAGAAGAGAAACUGCCGCGAAGAAAAUGAGUGGCGAUUCUAGCUGAGUGCUUCUGAGCGCUACCUCGUCUGAACAGUUUCAUCAGGGGACGCAAGAGGAGGGAAGAAUGCCUUAUUUUUUCUGAAAAUGUUAGAGGCGUGGCUGUUGUAGCUGGCCAUCGAUGACUCGUCGUAAGUGUAGUGGAGAACAUGGAAAGUAAUCGCCGUAAAAUGUUGUGACUUUCGUUCGUUUUCUCUUCCUAAAGUAUGUAUUUAUAAAGCAUUACGAACAAAAUGAAAUGGAAAACAAUAACUACUGCUCACAAAUAUUAAAAACAAAUUUACGAAAAGAAAAGAAGUAUGAUUAAAAGAAAAUAAAAUAAAUGUAUACUCUUUUGUUGCUAAACAAUUAAAAGUAAUUGCUGUUUAAUUAUUAAAUAGUUUUUUUAUACAUUCUGUUGCAUUCAAAAUCCUUAGUGUAUUCAUUAAAUAAAAGCAUUUCAUUGUCCAAUUGCUUAAAACUUAAUAUAUGCAUACAUACAACAUACAACAUAACAUAACAUAAUUUCGUGCCAAUUUCAAUUUCUACAACAUACAUUGUAAAUCAGAUUGUAUCAUUUAGCAUAUCCAUAUAAUGGUGCCGUUAAACGUUUGUUUAUAAAUCAGUGCAUAAGCAUAAAAAAGCUUAAGCUUACACGCCACCGCCACGUAAACUUUUGUCGUUUUACUGCUCCACACUUAGUUUUGCUAUGUACUCUACUAUUGUGUUUUUUUUUGUUUUUUGCCUUAUGAUGCCAAGGUCAAAUAAAAACUGCUUUUACGCAAACUUAUCAGUGACUGCAUAACUACAACAAAAGGUUACGUCAAUUCGAUAAGUGGCUCAUCUGCUGAACACAAUCACACACCCACAAAACAUACAUACAUAUAAUAUUUAUAUAGUAUAUUCAUGUUUAUAAUAUGUAUAGUUAUAUAAAAAAAAUAUACGCAAAAUGUGCUUUACUCAUUGCUUUUUGUUCACAAAAAAGAAAAUUGUUGAUGCUGCAUACACUUUCAUACGUACGUACAAUGAUACAAAUAUGUUUUUGCAUCAAACGUACGUACAUAUGUACAUUCUUUUUUAUGUGCGCUUGAACUCAUGCAAUUGCUCAUUUUUUAUGAUCUUUGUCAACCGCUGUUAUUUUUCGCUGCAGAAAUUUUUGCUCGCUUUAAGCUGGAGUUUUUUUUUGCUCAGCGUCGCCUUUGAGCUUUAUUGAAAUAACCGAUCAUAUCAAAUCGAAUUGUUGCUUGGGGAAAAUCUGCAUGCGGGAAAGAUAUGCUGUUGAUAGAUUGACUUUUUUUUGACGUUUAAGGAUUAGUGAAUUUUAAUUGAAUUAUGGAAGCUCAAAAUUAAUAUUGAACAAUUAAUCUUUUUAUAUAGUCUCGAAGGUUGAUUAGAUAGAAAUUAGCCAAAUUGAACAUUUAUUUAUUUAUUUGCUUAAUUAUCACAGAUAAGCAGGAAAAAAAUAACACGUUAUACAAAAUUACAAAAAAUCUAUUUUUCUCUUACACGGCGUUUACAUGAGAAUUUACCCAGUAGCGAAAAUGGUCACUGGUGACAUCGUCACUAAUGGAGAUUUGGUGACAUCGUCGCUCUUGCUGUGAAUCCUAAGCGACAUAUAGCUGACAAUGACACUGGUGAGAAUGUUAUGCAGGUGUACUCCUAUCAAAGACGUAUAACAGACAAUGUCUUGCAGCGGUCACUUAUAAAAAGUUCAUUGCAGUACAUUGUCGCUUGAAUAUCAUCAAUGAUCACUGCAUGACAAAGUCAUCCAGAUGCCAUCAACGACUGAAGACUUGAUAUGGCCGUACAAGACACUUAAGUGACUAAUUCAUGACAUUCGCUACGGGGUUGCCAAGACAAUAGAAAUACAUUCACACUUUUUCACUAAACACUCACACAAAGACCAUUAAUUGUUUUCUUAAUUAAUUGUCUGACAAUUGUCUUCGUCACUGUCUUUGAUUUUUCAAAGACAGUGAAUUGGACAAUUCGGUCACGUCUUGGUUAAUUUGAAAAAAAAAGACAAGACAAAAUCGCAAAAAAUCGCAGAAUUAUGAAAAAGUGCAUUGUGUUAGGACAUUUUAGUAAAUAAUAUGAAAUUCACGCCAAACGACACUAACGGCGGUUGCUGAAAAAUGUAUUGUCUUUAUAAUUGUCUGGAUGCCUACUUUACACUACAAUUUACAACUAAUGCUGCUUUUACAUAAGACAAUUUGAGUCAAGACAAUUGAGACUAAAUUGUUUAUUAGUUGUCAGAGCCAGCUAUUUGAUUACAACAAGAAUAUUCAAAAUUUUAAAUUUUGACGCAUUUUUUUUUUUUAAUUUCAGGACGAAAUACACGCCUGGAACGGACUGCAAAAAUACAAGUACAUAGAAUACUUAAUUAUUUUGAGUUUCAAGCAUAACCUCAAAAAUAAAAAAAGUUUAUAUUGCAAAAUUUCGAGUAAGUGGGAAUGAAGUAUCCAUUUUGAAUGAGGCCUCUUAUUAUCCGAUUGUAAAAAAGAUAUACAAAAUUUAUUUCCCGUUGUUAAUGUUAUUUUUUUUGUUGCUUGAUUUUUUCUUGGCUGCAGGACAAAUAAAAAGCAUUAUAAUUAUAGAAAAGUCUUUUAAACCAAAAGCAAAAUUGUUUAUUACAGAAUUAAGUCAAUAAGCAUUCAAAUUCAAAAAAAAAUAUUGUAAAACUCAAGAUUCCAAAAUUUAAUGUGAGUUUCAACGCAAUUUUGCCUAAAAUUGAUUUUAAAUUAGGUCCUUUAUUAUUUCCUCGUAAAAAGUAUAGAAAAUUUAAUUCCCACUGAUAAUUAUUAUUUUUAUUUAUUUAUCCAAAGCUCUCGUUCGACCAAAAAAACCUGUCUAGUUUAAAACGGUCUUUAACAUUUAAGCAAAGUUGUUAAACAAUUAAAUCAAUAGGCAAUGCUUUGGAAAAUUUUCGUUUCCGAAUAUCACCUCAAAUUUUAAAAACCUAAUUUCUACCAAAAAUUUAUUUCAAAUAAGCAAAAGGAUAUAAAAAAAAUAGUUCCGUAUGAAAAAUACAAAGUUUAGUUGAUUUUUUCUUAGUUUCAUCACAAAGUGCAACCGGCUUUUAGUGAAAACAUGCAUCAAGAAAAAAAAA
rnacentral:misc_RNA from 1 species